AGCCAGACAGCCUAGUGGUAACUCAGGCACCCCAGUGCUAGUGGGAAGAUCCAGGUUUGAUCCCUGGUCUGGCUG